UUAGUUAUAUACAUUUGGUACAUAUAUUAAUUAUCUUUGAAGUUGUGUUAAAAACAUUGUGUGGUGUAGAUUAAUCGUCCGAGUAAAAUAUAAUAAAGUAGGUAUACCUAAUAAUGAUUACGUUACCAAAUUUCUCUUCGUCAUUGGGUGUUCUCCUGAUAUGCAGCUUCAUUCCAUUUGCCGCGCCAUCGCCAUACAGAUUUCAUUAUAAAUAUGUAGUUACCGGUUUAGUUGAAAAUGUACGUUUUUUGGAUGAGAAUACCUUGUUUUUGUCGCAGAAUGAGGUUGGAACAUUAUGUUACAUCGCUCUCAACAGUAAAAAUGUUAAAGCCAAGUAUGGUGAUUCUAAUCUGGCAUAUGAAUCCAAGAAAUAUCAUAAAUGUAAGGCCAUGAAUGUAUGUCAAUUUGCUAACACAGCUUUCCAAAAUAAAAAAGAGGUUAAUAUGUAUUGCAUGGAAACUGGUGGCGCUAACCGAAGAGCUGGAGGCGCUAACCAAGUAGCUGGAAUUGAAUAUGCUGGCAGAAAAGCAAUAUAUGAACGGGAUAACAUAUAUUAUACCCAAAUUUGCUGAUCAAACUAACUUGCGAGCAGAGCAAGUUAAUUUUUUUAUGUCUUAUGCUAGCUUUUAGUUACAUGAAUUAUUGGAAAUCGUAAUCAAUAAAAUAUUAUUCGUUAA